UACAGAGGUGCCGAGCGUUAGGCGGAAUCACUGGGCUUAAAGCGUGUGUAGGCGGACGUCUAAGUACCUUGUGAAAUCCCACGGCUCACCCGUGGAACUGCUGGGUAUACUGGGCGUCUUGAGCCACCUAGGGGCCAGCGGAACAAAUGGUGGAGCGGUGAAAUGCGUAGAUAUCGUCUGGAACGCCGAAGGUGAAAACAGCUCGCUGGGGCUGCGCUGACGCUGAGACACGAAAGCCAGGGGAGCGAACGGG
rnacentral:rRNA from 1 species